AAAAACUUUCAACAACGGAUCUCUUGGUUCUGGCAUCGAUGAAGAACGCGGCGAAAUGCGAUACGUAAUGUGAAUUGCAGAAUUCAGUGAAUCAUCGAAUCUUUGAACGCACAUUGCGCCCGCCAGCAUUCUGGCGGGCAUGCCUGUUCGAGCGUCAU
rnacentral:rRNA from 1 species